rnacentral:rRNA from 1 species
CCUACGGGAGGCAGCAGUGAGGAAUAUUGGUCAAUGGACGAGAGUCUGAACCAGCCAAGUAGCGUGAAGGAUGACUGCCCUAUGGGUUGUAAACUUCUUUUAUAUGGGAAUAAAAUGUUCCACGUGUGGGAUUUUGUAUGUACCAUAUGAAUAAGGAUCGGCUAACUCCGUGCCAGCCGCCGCGGUAAUACGGAGGAUCCGAGCGUUAUCCGGAUUUAUUGGGUUUAAAGGGAGCGUAGGUGGAUUGUUAAGUCAGUUGUGAAAGUUUGCGGCUCAACCGUAAAAUUGCAGUUGAAACUGGCAGUCUUGAGUACAGUAGAGGUGGGCGGAAUUCGUGGUGUAGCGGUGAAAUGCUUAGAUAUCACGAAGAACUCCGAUUGCGAAGGUAGCUCACUGGACUGCAACUGACACUGAGGCUCGAAAGUGUGGGUAUCAAACAGGAUUAGAUACCCUAGUAGUC